UCCUGGGCUCCGUGUUGGGGACCAGGAUUUCUUUCCGCUUUGUUUUGGUUACUAAUGUGGCUGUGUGAUCUCAGCCCUGAGGUUUUCUUCCCUUAAACUCCAGACACCAGUUUCCUAGAUCUCCGUGCUUUAAGGCUCGCACGCUUUCGGCAUCGCCCCCAGAUGUUGAAAGAGUGCACACCGCUUAGGAGUGUUUGUAGGAAAAGCCUCUGAGCCAGUGCGUGUAGCAUCCCCGAGCCUGGAAUUCACUCUGUAGCAAAGACUGGACUUGAACCUUCUACCUCAGCCCGGAGAGUGCUGGGACGGAUUACAGGCAAGAGCCACCACCUGGACCCUGGCCAGACUCCUUUCUCUCUCUCCCUCCCUUCCGUCUCCGCCCCCCUCCAUCCUUCAUGUAACAGCCCAGUCUGCCCUGGAGCUCUUUCCAUAGACCAGGCUGUCCUCGAACUCACAGAAAUCCACCUGCCUCUGUAUCCCGAGCGCUGCAUCACCACCGCCCGGCUGAAACAAAAGAGUUCUUUUCUGAGAUGAUUUGGCUCCGGUGAAAUCGCAUGCCACCGCCUCAUUAGCAGGGCCGGUGGUGACAUGGCUCAGAGGGUUAAGUCUGUAGCCGCCCGAGUCUGAUAGCCCGAACCUGAGUUAGAACCCAGGAAACCACAUGGUGUGAAAGGUGAGAACGGGCUCCUGUAGGAUGUCUGUGACCUCCACUCUGGCACAGGCGCAGAGUGGACCACAGCGUUGGUUCUUUUGUGUCUGGAAGAAGUAAGUGGCUGUAUACGCUGUUUCUCAAGCCCUGAGUCUGGGGAUGGGGGUGGGGGUUGGUAGUUAGAAAACCAUCUUCUGCAUAGGCCAGAGAGAGGGCGAAACACUGGGCAACAUAUUCAAAAUAUAAUUCCCGGCGUCCACACAGCAGGUCACAACCAUCUGUAACUCUGGUGCCAGGGGGACCAGGGUGUCUGUCCCCCUCUCUGGUCUCAGCGGGAACCAGUCAUGCCAAGUAGUGCCGUGAUCAGACAUACAGGCAAAAUCUCUGUACACUAACUUUUUGUUGUUUUAUUUUGUUUAUGUUUUGUUUUGUUUUUUGAGACAGCGUUUCUCUGUAGCCUUGGCUUACUUGGAACUCUGCCUCUGCCUCCCGAGUGCUGGGAUUAAAGGUGUGGGCCACCACCACCCAGCAUUAAUUUUUUUUUUAAGUAGACUGUGUAAAGCCUUGAAAUGUUGUAUUCCAAAGAAAGCCAGACAAUUAGCUCUCUUACUGUGGUGUUCGGAGUGUGGCAUGGUGGCCCCACCUCAAAAGACCAAAAAAAAAAAAAAAGGAACCAAAUCAAUCCAAAAUAAAAAUCCCGUUAACCUC